GAUGAAGAACGUAGCAAAAUGCGAUAAGUAAUGUGAAUUGCAGAAUUCAGUGAAUCAUCGAAUCUUUGAACGCACAUUGCGCCCGCCAGUAUUCUGGCGGGCAUGCCUGUUCGAGCGUCAUUUCAACCCUCAGGCACAGCUUGGUGUUGGGACUCGCGUUAAUUCGCGUUCCUCAAAUUGAUUGGCGGUCACGUCGAGCUUCCAUAGCGUAGUAGUAAAACCCUCGUUACUGGUAAUCGUCGCGGCCACGCCGUUAAACCCCAACUUCUGAAUGUUGACCUCGGAUCAGGUAGGAAUACCCGCUGAACUUAAGCAUAUCAAUAAGCGGAGGA
rnacentral:misc_RNA from 1 species